UUUUCAUAUAUUUUGGAUUUUUUUCUAUUUAGGAUGGGUUUAUAGGUGGAUGGGUUAUGCCUCAAAAAUAUCCUUCAUAGGACAAGCUUAGCCCUUAGAUUAGUGUCAUUAAGAUAGAUGGCUACAAAGGGAGAUACCCGAAUGACUCACAUUCGACUGAAAGAAAGGGUUGCAAGAUUGGUCCUUUGGAUAUUCCGCCGAGGGAUAUUAGUAGAAGAUGUUGUGAUAAGGUACUGGAGCCAUGAUUAUUUUGAGAUUAAAACAAUAUUCUGGGAAUGCAAUCCCUAUUUCACACCACAUCUUUCAGGAGCGAUUAGUGUUUCAUUUUGUUUGUAUGUAAAAUUGGAAAUUCUCCCUAGCAAUAUCUGAUUGUUACAACCAAUAGGUGCAUGUUCUCCAAGCAGGGAAGCUUGAGAACUUGCUUCCACUGGUAGGCCAAUGGAAAAUUGAAUCAUUUCUAGCAAUGUGUCAAUUACACGAUUUCCUAUCAUGUACCCACUAACAAAGAAAGCCAUUAUGGAUGUCCUGUUCUUUGCUUCUUAUCCUUCAAUCAUGUUACUUAUUGCUAUGUUGAAAUGGAAAUUUGCAUAUUGUAAGGGAUUUCUAAUGGAGUUCUAAGUGCAAAUUUCUCUAUUGAUUUAUAGAGUAAGGAGGUUAAUCUAUUCCAACCUACUAGCGAAUUUAUACCCAUGAUCAAUGAGGUUUUUUGUUCCCUCAUUGAAGAGACAAAAGGAAUAGAAGGCACAAAGGUUGAGAACAAUAAGUUUUGCAUCUCUGUACAUUAACGACUUGCACGUGAGAAUAACUGGACUACUGUUGCACAAUGUGUCCAUGACAUCAUAACAGACUAUCCAUGCCUACGACUAACGCAUGGGUGGGAGUGAAAAUUUUUAUUCAAGGAGAAAAUCAAAAUACAAGGUUAAUAUAGAUCCAAACACAAGAGUAUGUGUAAAAUUGCAGAGGAAUCCAGUCCUUUAUCUACUAACACUAGCCAUUGGUGCACUGUGUAUGGUAAGAAACUCCAUAUUCUGCUGUUUUGUCAUGUUCUACCCUAAAAUAAUGCAUUUUGAGAGAGAGAGAGAGAGAGAGAGAGAGAGAGAGACCAUUACAGUUUAAAAUUUUGUCCAAACUAACACGUGUAGCUUGAUAAGUAUCACUUCUUCUUCUUACUUAUUUAUUAUUUAUUUAUUUAUUUUAAUUCUUUGAUCCCAAGAAUAUGAUUCUUUUUUAAUUUAUUCUCAGUAUAAUUCUAAAUUAGUGAAUGUAAAACUCACAUCGACAUGGGUGAUACUUAGUGGGUAUCAUCUGAUACUGAAUUUAAACCAGCCAUUACAUUCUC